rnacentral:snoRNA from 1 species
GGGAAAAAUAAAGCGAAAAAAAGAGCGGAGAAAAAAACGGCGAAGGGGAAAAACGGGCGAAGGGGGAAAGGGGAAAAAUAAAGCUUUAUUUUUCCCCUUUCCCCCUUCGCCCGUUUUUCCCCUUCGCCGUUUUUUUCUCCGCUCUUUUUUUCGCN